UUAAGAUUAAAUGAAAUAGACUGACGGAUUUAUUCAGUAGACUAAUUGGCAUAAUAAUAUUAAUAAAUAAUAUUAAUGUGUAAUAUGUGCAAUAUAUAUUUGGUUUAUAAAUUUAUUAUGUUUAAAUAUUAUUGAGAUAAUAAUAUUACCGAUGAAACAACUAGACUCAAAACGGAUUUAGAACAGUAUUUUUAUGAGACUGCUUGUAUUAAAAGACCCGGUUUUUAAAACACAAUCUGCUAAAAUCGUUAGCCGCCUCCUACGUCAUUCUUACGUUUUAUUCCAUUUAAACCUAUUUAAAUCAUUUCAGCAGUCGCACGUUGUUCCGAUUCCUCCACUCAGUUUAUUAAAAACACAGCCUGCCUCCACUUUGGUUCUAAUAUAUUUUCUUCAGCACGAUCGUCCUUCUCGGUGCUUAAACAAUGCAAUGCUAGCCUGUCUUCACUCAGACAGCUACAAAGCAGUUCAUCUCUGCUGCUGUAAUAAUGGCACCCUUCUCCCUCUUUCUUUAUUCCUUCUUUCUCCUUCUUUUAAGACCGAGACACAGCAUUGAGAUUGAGAGUAGGAGAGUGAGUUGAGAGAAAGAGAUGAGAUGAGAUGAGAUGAGAUGAGAAAUAGAAGCAAGCAAGAGAUUAAGAGUAAGUAGAGAAUUGAGAGAGAAGCAGAAUUUGAGAGAGAAAGAAGGAGUGAAAUGAAGAGAGAAACAGAGGCAGAGAGGGAGAUCCGGCCGAUCCUUCAGUAGAGUCCCGGCCGAUUGUAGCAGACCGAGAGAGAGAAGAUGAGAGACCCGAAGCCGUGAACCCCAAGCAAACCCGAAGAUCCGGCGUGAGCCCAGCCAAAACCCACAACUCAGCACCGAUGGCUGGCGGACGGCGUCACCCAGCAGAGCCCAUCCCAUCCCGGCGUGACCCAGGACCCGAUCGUGGAGCCGUGAACCACGACCCGUCCAACCCAGCCGUGAAACCAUGAACCCAACGAACCCGUGCGUGAUCCAGCCAUGAUCCAUGACCCAGCCGUGAAGACCACCGACCCAGAAGCCCAUUCCAGCUGCGAUUCAGACCAGACCCGUGAACCUCGGCCCAACCCAGACGAUCCAGCUGAACCCGUGAACCCCGGCCCAACCCGUGACCCGUGAGCCCAGUCCAGCAAGCAGUAGCUGAGCCCAGUCCAGCCCAUCCCAGCAAGCAAGCCCAACCCAGUCGGCCCACGAACCAAUUUCAGCCCAGACCCGCUGAGCCUGACCCAGCAGUGAUCCAACCAUGACCUGAACCCGGAGACCCGACCCGCCGGUGACCCGUCUCCGGCAGAGUCUUCCGGCAACUUUUCCGGUAACCUUUCCGGCGACUUCCCGUGACCAAACUCACCGUUUUCACUAGAUUUUCUAGUAAAAUCCUUAAUAUGAUGACUUGAGAGACUGCAUGAAUUGGCUGUAAGUAUUUCUAUACUUACUGAGGACGAAACUGGUGGUUUUUCCAUAAUAUUGUGUUUAUUGUUUUAUUUAAUUUGUUCAUUGCAUGUGGCCGAUCAUGCAUAGCAUGUUGUGUCUAAAAUAAUAAAAUACGGCUGAUAAGAUAGCCAGUGCAUCAGUUGACUUGGGGGGUUAAAAAACCAAAGCUGAUGUAGUAGCAAGGGGAAGAAAGGCUCAUCAGUGAACCCUAAAAAGUGCGAGUCCGAAGUCUUAAUAUAUAACUAAUGCUGGGACCGGUAGGAUUCCAGUAAAAACAGGUAAGACUUUAAGUGGGAGGCAACGGACGUGAACGGGUUCUGAUAACCUAGAACGAGAGGUCUGAAGAAAGAUGAUCAUAAAACAUCAAACUAAAUGGUUACUACGAUGCAUAUUCAUACAACUCAUACAUUUGCAUUAUACGCAUGGUUAUAAAGCCAUAACUGCAUGUUAAGAGAAUUUAUUAAGUAAAUCAGUAUUCACCGUAUUAUUGGAAACAGUGGACUCACUUUGGUUGUUUUGUGUUUUUGUUCCUAUAUACAUAUAUUCCGUUAAUGCAGGUUAAUAGACAAAGACCAGAACUCAAGAGGUUUUAUAGCUAAGGACGCAUAGUUUAUAUUUUGUUUGUAGUCUUCUGUGUUUAUAGCAUUUUAUAUUGACAAAAUUGCUAAUGAUUUAUAUGUAUUCUUUUGUGUCAUUAUGGACACCUGUUUCCUUGUAUUUGUUAUAAGAAUUUUCUAAUGAAUAUCUAGAGGUAUUUAAUUUAAAA